UACGUAGGGACCAAGCGUUGUUCGGAUUUACUGGGCGUAAAGGGCGCGUAGGCGGCGCGGUAAGUCACUUGUGAAAUCUCUGAGCUUAACUCAGAACGGCCAAGUGAUACUGCAGUGCUAGAGUGUGGAAGGGGCAAUCGGAAUUCUUGGUGUAGCGGUGAAAUGCGUAGAGAUCAGGAAGAACACCCGUGGCGCAAGCGGCCACCUGGCAGAGACCUGACGCUGAGGCACGAAAGCGUGGGGGAGCGAACCGG
rnacentral:rRNA from 1 species